rnacentral:rRNA from 1 species
GGGGAAUUUUGGACAAUGGGCGCAAGCCUGAUCCAGCCAUGCCGCGUGAGUGAAGAAGGCCUUCGGGUUGUAAAGCUCUUUCGCAAGGGAAGAAAACGUGUGGGCUAAUAUCCUGCGCGGAUGACGGUACCUUGACAAGAAGCCCCGGCUAACUUCGUGCCAGCAGCCGCGGUAAUACGAAGGGGGCUAGCGUUGUUCGGAAUUACUGGGCGUAAAGCGCACGUAGGCGGACAUUUAAGUCAGAGGUGAAAUCCCAGGGCUCAACCCUGGAACUGCCUUUGAUACUGGGUGUCUUGAGUACGAGAGAGGUGAGUGGAAUUCCGAGUGUAGAGGUGAAAUUCGUAGAUAUUCGGAAGAACACCAGUGGCGAAGGCGGCUCACUGGCUCGUAACUGACGCUGAGGUGCGAAAGCGUGGGGAGCAAACA